rnacentral:rRNA from 1 species
CCCUUAGAUGUCCUGGGCCGCACGCGCGCUACACUGAUGCAUUCAACGAGUAAUUAUUCCUUGGCCGAGAGGCCUGGGUAAUCUUUUAAACGUGCAUCGUGAUAGGGAUAGAUUAUUGCAAUUAUUAAUCUUGAACGAGGAAUUCCUAGUAAACGCAGAUCAUCAAUCUGCAUUGAUUACGUCCCUGCCCUUUGUACACACCGCCCGUCGCACCUACCGAUUGAAUGCUCAGGUGAGCCAUUCGGACUUUCAUCAUGCUGGUUUCCAGUUUUGAUGAAGGAAAGUCUUGCGAACCUUAUCAUUUAGAGGAAGGAGAAGUCGUAACA